GCACUGCUUAGGAGUCCCACAAUAGGACGAAACGGCUGUUCAGUGC
rnacentral:hammerhead_ribozyme from 1 species